rnacentral:lncRNA from 1 species
CCACAACUGAGUUUCUCAUUAGAAAUAGUAUUACAAAAUCACCAAGUUGACAAGUAUGAUAACACAGGUUUAAAUGACACAAUGAACAAGUCCUGGAUGUGUACACAUCAAUUUAUUCACUCAAAACCUUCAUAGCCUAUUUUAAUCCUCAUGACAUCUCAAUCUAAUAAUAAUAUUAGUAUAUCAGCCAAAUUCUUAAUUUACACGCAAACAUUCUUGACUUUUUGUUCAUGUCCAAUUCCAUUGAGCUCACCAAUUCAACUAUGGAUUUAUAUUUUCUGCAAUUAACAAUCCACACAUUCACGUAGACAGAGACAUCACUUAUCAUUAGACUGAGAUCACACGGUCUUAAUUCCAAGCUUUUAUUUAAUUUUUAAAAAUCAAAAUAUGCAUUGAGCUUUGAAUCGUCCAAUUUCGAUCCAAUGACCACUGAUGCUUCUAAUAGCGUGAGUCCGUGAAUUUCUAACCGCAUUAAAUCCAAAUCUUCUAUUCUAUGCUUUCUCAAUCAAGGCAUGAUGAGUCAACAGAUAACACAAGCAUUUGGGUUCUCUUCUACACUCUGAACAUGAUAGUAUUGAGUCAUGUAGGGAUUGUAUCCUUUGUAUUGCUUAAUAAGCUCAGCAAUUUGUUCAUUUGGAUCUUUCUUCUUAUUAUCAUCUUUUUUGCCGUCAUCCUUUUUCUUCUCCGGCUCUUUUGCCGGCCCAACCGUUAAAAUUUCUGUGUGCCAAGUUUUUCUCAAUUUGCUCACAACAUCAACAGGGUCUAUGUCACCCACCACUGUCAGCUUCUUUUCCUUCAUGUCCAUGGCGAUAGAAUCAAUGCCUGCAUUCAAAGCCAUUAAUUAUUUUGUUUGUUCAACACUGUAUAUGUCCGAUUGAGACAUGUUUUGGAUGUAUUUUUAUACAUAAAUGAACACUAAUGGGACAACUACAUCGUAUUUUGCUUGUUUAUACCCGCAUUGUCCCAAAAAAUUUAAAGUUCAAAUAACAUCACUCCAUGGUUAAAUAAGUGCACAUGACCAAAUAAUUAAUAAAUAAAUAUAUGCUGGCCGUCCAUUUAGUUAACAUAGGUUCAUUACUGUGAGUAGCUACAAAAUAAAACGUCCAAUUGUAUAUUUACUCUGGAAAAUGAAAUCAUUGUUGGUUUGCACUCAAGAGAUUAUGAUUUUAAUUUUUGUUCAUUAAAAUAUAAGUUCAUAUGUCUGCAUGUAUAUUGAGUUUUAAAAUGUUUUAAUGGAAUUUGUACUAAAAGGACAUGCUAAUUUAAUAUCACUAAAAGGGUAGUGACUAGUGAGUACCUGAAAGGCUAGAAACCGAUUUCAUAGCUUUCUGCUUUGCUUUGUCAUCAUGCAAGUCCAACUUCACCACUAUUUUCUACAAGAACAAAAAAAAGUUCCUAAGUAUUGAAAUCAUUAUUAUUAAACAAAAUCAGAGUUUAAUCAGGCAUAGAAAAAUAACAAAAGAUGUAGUCUUGACAAAACAAUCAAUUAGAUUUCAUUUUAAUGAAAAUGAUCUCAACUAGCUUGAGAUGCACCAACUAUAAUAGUUUAACUAAUGUUGGGAGCCAAAGAGAGAAGCAUAAACUCAUCUUAGAGACUGAAAAAGAAAAUAAAACCGAGUAAGGUGGUGAAUAUAAAUAUCUUAUCUUAAUCUAAUGAAAGAAAUAUUGAAUACUUGAAUGACCAUGUUUAUUAGAAUUGAUAUGAAACAAACAGGAAAUUAAGAGGAAGAAAGAGGCGUGAUUGCUUAGGAAAGUGACCUUUAAAUUAGAGCAAGAAAUCUCACCUUCAUUUUCACUUGAGUCCAAAGUUUUGAAGAUCAGUAGUCAAG